ACCGGCGUGAUCGUGCGCGUGUGCGAUGACGCGUUGCUCGCGGCAUGGGAUGGGCAUGACUGGCCUGCGUUGUUCGAGCCGACGCGCUGGCAC
rnacentral:tRNA from 1 species